GUGCCAGCAGCCGCGGUAAUACGUAGGUGGCAAGCGUUGUCCGGAAUUAUUGGGCGUAAAGCGCGCGCAGGCGGUCCUUUAAGUCUGAUGUGAAAGCCCACGGCUCAACCGUGGAGGGUCAUUGGAAACUGGGGGACUUGAGUGCAGAAGAGGAAAGUGGAAUUCCACGUGUAGCGGUGAAAUGCGUAGAGAUGUGGAGGAACACCAGUGGCGAAGGCGACUUUCUGGUCUGUAACUGACGCUGAGGCGCGAAAGCGUGGGGAGCAAACAGGAUUAGAUACCCUGGUAGUCCACGCCGUAAACGAUGAGUGCUAAGUGUUAGGGGGUUUCCGCCCCUUAGUGCUGCAGCUAACGCAUUAAGCACUCCGCCUGGGGAGUACGGCCGCAAGUCUGAAACUCAAAGGAAUUGACGGGGGCCCGCACAGGCGGUGGAAGCAUGUGGUUUAAUUCGAAGCAACGCGAAGAACCUUACCAGGUCUUGACAUCCCGCUGACCGCCUAGGAGACUAGGCUUUCCCUUCGGGACAGCGGUGACAGGUGGUGCAUGGUUGUCGUCAGCUCGUGUCGUGAGAUGUUGGGUUAAGUCCCGCAACGAGCGCAACCCUUGAUCUUAGUUGCCAGCAUUCAGUUGGGCACUCUAAGGUGACUGCCGUGACAAACCGAAGAAGUGGGGAUGACGUCAAAUCAUCAUGCCCUUAUGACUGGCUACACACGUGCUACAUGACGUACAAAGGGCUGCAAACCCGCGAGGGGAGCAUCCAGAAAACGUCUCAGUCGAUGCAGCUGCACUCGCCUGCAUGAGCGGAAUCGCUAGUAAUCGCGGAUCAGCAU
rnacentral:rRNA from 1 species